rnacentral:rRNA from 1 species
AUUGAACGCUGGCGGCAGGCCUAACACAUGCAAGUCGAGCGGCAGCGGGAAAUUAGCUUGCUACUUUUGCCGGCGAGCGGCGGACGGGUGAGUAAUGCCUGGGAAAUUGCCCAGUCGAGGGGGAUAACAGUUGGAAACGACUGCUAAUACCGCAUACGCCCUACGGGGGAAAGCAGGGGACCUUCGGGCCUUGCGCGAUUGGAUAUGCCAAGGUGGGAUUAGCUAGUUGGUGAGGUAAUGGCUCACCAAGGCGACGGUCCCUAGCUGGUCUGAGAGGCUGAUCAGCCACACUGGAACUGAGACACGGUCCAGACUCCUACGGGAGGCAGCAGUGGGGAAUAUUGCACAAUGGGGGAAACCCUGAUGCAGCCAUGCCGCGUGUGUGAAGAAGGCCUUCGGGUUGUAAAGCACUUUCAGCGAGGAGGAAAGGUUGAUGCCUAAUACGUAUCAACUGUGACGUUACUCGCAGAAGAAGCACCGGCUAACUCCGUGCCAGCCGCCGCGGUAACAC